GCGACUGAAGGAACUGGGGCUGUUUAGUCUGGGGAAGAGGAGGCUGAGGGGAGACGUUAUUGCUCUCUUCCAAUAUCUGAAAGGUGCUUACAGCGAGGGUGGGGUUGAUCUCUUCUCACUGGUGACAGGUGACAGGAUGAGGGGAAAUGGCCUCAAGUUGUGCCAGGGUAAGUUUAGGUUGGAUAUCAGGAAAAACUUCUUUACAGAAAGGGUUGUUAAGCACUGGAAUAGGCUCCCCAGGGAGGUGGUUGAGUCACUAUCCCUGAAUGUGUUUAUAAACCGUUUCAACAUGGUGCUCAGGGACAAGAUUUAGUAGAGGGUUGUUAGAGUUAGGGUAGUAUGGUUAGAUUGUGGUUGGACUUGAUGAUCUUUAAGGUCUUUUCCAACCUGAGCAAUUCUAUGAUUCUUUGAUUCCAUAAAACAUUUGAUAGUUUCUGUUUUUCUAUCCAAACCUUAUGGAAGAUGGUGGAAGAGAUGUAGAGUAAAGCUUGAAGACACUGAAAGUUUAGAAAAUCAAGAAGGUACAAGCUUAGAGAUCUGCAGUUGGAAGCAGCCCUCAUUGCCAACAACCUUGGUGAGUAUGAUGAUUAGAAAUUUGUUCAGAAGUCAAAGCUGUUAAGUCAAUCUGGACAACCUGGUGAUUGUCAUCAAAU
ensembl:lncRNA